rnacentral:RNase_P_RNA from 1 species
AAAUUGAAUAGUCGCUGGCAAAAUUCGAAAGGAUUUGCGAGAGGAAAGUCCGGGCUCCAUAGAGCAAUGAUACUUGAUAACGUCAAGCGAGGGUGACCUUAGGGAAAGUGCAACAGAAAAUAACCGCCACGUUAAAACUUGAGUUCUCGCAAAGCUUGCUUUGUGGGACUUUAGGAGGAGCAACAUAGUUAGUUAUAUUGCAAAACGAGCAUGCUCAUUUUUUAUAUAACGAAAUAAGCUCCGACGCGGUAAGGGUGAAAAGGCAGGGUAAGAGCCUACCGGAAGAAUAGUGAUAUUCUUUGUUCGUGUAAACCCUAUCUGGAGCAACACCUUGUGUAUAAGAAAUGUUAAGGCUGCUCGCCGUUUUCUUUUAGCACAUGAGUGGCUUGAGGUAUAUAGCAAUAUAUAUCCUAGAUAAAUGACUAUUUUAAACAGAACCCGGCUUACAGAUUUACUCU